GGAGGCAUGGUUCAAGGGUAGAGUGUUUGCCUAACAAGGGCAAGGUGCUGAGUUCAAACCCCAGUGCCACCA
rnacentral:tRNA from 1 species